UGCUGUUACGAGGAUGUUUUUUAUGUCCU
rnacentral:piRNA from 1 species